AGCAGCCGCGGUAAUUCCAGCUCCAAUAGCGUAUAUUAAAGUUGUUGCAGUUAAAAAGCUCGUAGUUGAAUUUCGGGAUCUAUACGAUGGUCGUGCUUUAACGGUUCGAACUGUUGUGAUAGAUUCCUACCUUCUGAAUAACCGAUUUGCCAUUAAUUUGGUGGGUCGGGGAAGCAGGACUAUUACCUUGAAAAAAAUUAGAGUGCUCAAAGCAGGUUAUUGCCUGAAUACAUUAGCAUGGAAUAAUGAAAUAGGACGGCAUGGUUCUAUUUUGUUGGUCUCUAGGAUCACCGUAAUGAUUAAUAGGGAUAGUUGGGGGCAUUAGUAUUCAAUUGUCAGAGGUGAAAUUCUUGGAUUUAUUGAAGACUAACUACUGCGAAAGCAUUUGCCAAGGAUGUUUUCAUUAAUCAAGAACGAAAGUUAGGGGAUCGAAGACGAUCAGAUACCGUCGUAGUCUUAACCAUAAACUAUGCCGACUAGGGAUCGGACGAAGUUAAUUUUUUAAUGACUCGUUCGGCGC
rnacentral:rRNA from 1 species